rnacentral:misc_RNA from 1 species
GAGUAAACCUGAUGUGGCUGUUAGCUGGCUUAGGCAUGUGCUCGUCCAUCAUCUUUAUAUCUCCACCUGUGCACAUUUUGUAGACUUGGAUAAUGGCUCUGUCAUUUACAAGACUAUGUUAUCAAUAUACCCAAAGCAUGUUUAAAGAAUGUCAUCAAUAGGAACUUGGUUUCCUAUUAGAAACUAUACAACUUUCAGCAACGGAUCUCUUGGCUCUCGCAUCGAUGAAGAACGCAGCGAAAUGCGUUAAGUAAUGUGAAUUGCAGAAUUCAGUGAAUCAUCGAAUCUUUGAACGCACCUUGCGCUCCUUGGUAUUCCGAGGAGCAUGCCUGUUUGAGUGUCAUUAAAUUCUCAACCUUUCCAUUAAUU